GAUGAACGCUGGCGGCGUGCUUAACACAUGCAAGUCGAACGAAGCAUUUACGACAGAUUCUUUCGGGAUGAAGUUGUUUAUGACUGAGUGGCGGACGGGUGAGUAACGCGUGGGUAACCUGCCUCAUACAGGGGGAUAGCAGCUGGAAACGGCUGGUAAUACCGCAUAAGCGCACAGAAUCGCAUGAUUCAGUGUGAAAAACUACCGGUGGUAUGAGAUGGACCCGCGUCUGAUUAGCUAGUUGGUGAGGUAACGGCCCACCAAGGCGACGAUCAGUAGCCGACCUGAGAGGGUGACCGGCCACAUU
rnacentral:rRNA from 1 species